rnacentral:rRNA from 1 species
GACGAACGCUGGCGGCGUGCCUAAUACAUGCAAGUCGAGCGAACAGACGAGGAGCUUGCUCCUCUGACGUUAGCGGCGGACGGGUGAGUAACACGUGGAUCACCUACCUAUAAGACUGGGAUAACUUAGGGAAACCGGAGCUAAUACCGGAUAAUAUAUUGAACCGCAUGGUUCAAUAGUGAAAGACGGUUUUGCUGUCACUUAUAGCUGGAUCCGCGCCGCAUUAGCUAGUUGGUAAGGUGACGGCUUACCAAGGCAACGAUGCGUAGCCGACCUGAGAGGGUGAUCGGCCACACGGGAGCUGAGACGCGGUCCAGACUCCUAAGGGAGGCAGCAGUAGGGAAUCUUCCGCAAAGGGCGGAAGCCUGACGGAGCAACGCCGCGUGAGUGAUGAAGGUCUUCGGAUCGUAAAACUCUGUUAUUAGGGAAGAACAAAUGUGUAAGUACCUAUGCACGUCUUGACGGUACCUGAUCAGAAAGCCACGGCUAACUACGUG